AGUGAACGCUGGCGGUAGGCCUAACACAUGCAAGUCGAACGGCAGCACAGUAAGAGCUUGCUCUUACGGGUGGCGAGUGGCGGACGGGUGAGGAAUACAUCGGAAUCUACUUUUUCGUGGGGGAUGACGUAGGGAAACUUACGCUAAUACCUCAUACGACCUACGGGUGAAAGCAGGGGAUCUUCGGACCUUGCGCGAUUGAAUGAGCCGAUGUCGGAUUAGUUAGUUGGCGGGGUAAAGGCCCACCCAGGCGACGAUCCGUAGCUGGUCUGAGAGGGUGAUCUGCCACACUGGAACUGAGACACGGUCCAGACUCCUACGGGAGGCAGCAGUGGGGAAUAUUGGGCGAUGGGCGCAAGCCUGAUCCAGCCAUACCGCGUGGGUGAAGAAGGCCUUCGGGUUGUAAAGCCCUUUUGUUGGGAGAGAAAAGCAGCAGGUUAAUACCCCGCUGUUCUGACGGUACCCAAAGAAUAAGCACCGGCUAACUUCGUG
rnacentral:rRNA from 1 species